CCUACGGGAGGCAGCAGUGGGGAAUAUUGGACAAUGGGGGGAACCCUGAUCCAGCCAUGCCGCGUGUGUGAAGAAGGCCCUCGGGUUGUAAAGCACUUUCAGUGAGGAAGAACGCCUGGUGGUUAAUACCCAUCAGGAAAGACAUCACUCACAGAAGAAGCACCGGCUAACUCCGUGCCAGCAGCCGCGGUAAUACGGAGGGUGCGAGCGUUAAUCGGAAUUACUGGGCGUAAAGCGCGCGUAGGUGGCUUGAUAAGCCGGUUGUGAAAGCCCCGGGCUCAACCUGGGAACGGCAUCCGGAACUGUCAAGCUAGAGUGUAGGAGAGGAAGGUAGAAUUCCCGGUGUAGCGGUGAAAUGCGUAGAGAUCGGGAGGAAUACCAGUGGCGAAGGCGGCCUUCUGGACUGACACUGACACUGAGGUGCGAAAGCGUGGGUAGCAAACAGGAUUAGAUACCCGUGUAGUC
rnacentral:rRNA from 1 species